GCCCGUCUUCCGGUUGAUCCUGCGGGACCCGACUGCUAUCGGAUUGAGAUUUAGCCAUGCGAGUCGAACGUCCUCCUGUUGCGGGGGCGUGGCGUACGGCUCAGUAACACGUAGUCAACCUAACCUAUGGACGUGGAUAACCUCGGGAAACUGAGAAUAAACCGCGAUAGAUCAUUAUGCCUGGAAUGGCUUAUGGUUCAAACAAUUUAUUGCCGUAGGAUGGGACUGCGGCCUAUCAGCUUGUUGGUGAGGUAAUGGCCCACCAAGGCUAUAACAGGUACGGGCUCUGAGAGGAGAAGCCCGGAGAUGGGUACUGAGACACGGACCCAGGCCCUAUGGGGCGCAGCAGGCGAGAAACCUUAGCAAUGUGCGAAAGCACGACUAGGUUAAUCCGAGUGAUUUCUGUUGAAGAAAUCUUUUGUCAGUCGUAAAACCACAGACGAAUAAGGGGUGGGCAAGUCUGGUGUCAGCCGCCGCGGUAAUACCAGCACCUCGAGUGGUCAGGAGGUUUAUUGGGCCUAAAGCAUCCGUAGCCGGCUACGCAAGUCUCCGGUUAAAUCCAGCUGCUCAACAGAUGGGCUGCCGGAGAUACUACAUAGCUAGGGAGCGGGAGAGGUAGACGGUAUUCUGUGGGUAGGGGUAAAAUCCACUGAUCCAUAGAGGACCACCAGUGGCGAAGGCGGUCUACCAGAACGCGUUCGACGGUGAGGGAUGAAAGCUGGGGGAGCAAACCGGAUUAGAUACCCGGGUAGUCCCAGCUGUAAACGAUGCAAACUCGGUGAUGCAUUGGCUUAUGGCCAAUGCAGUGCCGCAGGGAAGCCGUUAAGUUUGCCGCCUGGGAAGUACGGACGCAAGUCUGAAACUUAAAGGAAUUGGCGGGGGAGCA
rnacentral:rRNA from 1 species